CGCACGGGUUUUCUCUCUCUCCCUCCCGAAAUCGAGCCGAAAACAGAGCAAACUUUGCCGGCCAUUUUCUCACAGCUCCGGCCAUCUGUUGAAGCGAAACAAUGCCCAGAUCGACUCGCCUCCUUCCUGUGAGUCGACUGGUGGUCACCGUUUACCAUUUCAUGGCGGAUACGCGGCGGUGGAGCUCGAAACCGGUCCGAGCCCGAAAACGAACCAACUGCGAUUUCUCCAAGCUCCGGCCACCAAAACUCGAGGUUCUUCGCUUAUUGAACUCGCCUCAACUUUCUGAACAAGCACCAAGAAGUACCGGACCUGAAGCGAUCGAUUUCACGCUUGUCGGAGCUCUCGCCGGUUUCUGGAAAAUUUCCGGCCAAACCGGACUGUUGAGACGAUUUGUGAUUCAUAUGUCGAGCUGUUAAGAAGACGCUGCGGGAUUAGAGGUUAGAUUAUUGAUUAAUCGUCGUCGAAGCUGAGGUGGACUUUCCGUCACGUGGGUGUAGAAGUGCGCUUAUACUUGCAGUCUUCCGCUGAGUAGUGAGUUGGCAAGGUGGUGCUUCGUCUUCUGGAAGACCUUUCUUCUGAUAUCCCAACUUCUUGUUAUUUAAACCUUUCAGUAGCUUAAAACAAGACUGCCAAUGCACAUGCAAAUGCAAAAUUUCAACUGAUGAGCUGGAUAAGUUGUAUGCAUAUUGGAACUGUGUAUGGUUCCACCAGAGGAAACUCUAUUUAAAUCGUAUAUAUUGAACACUGCAUGUGAAUAAACUUGAUUUCCAUAUCUUGAAACAUGACUUCAACUAAAUAUCAUUCUAACCAGACACCGUAAAUAUAUGUUUGGCAUUGUGAUCGAUUGAAACAAUCAUGAUCUAGACUCUUUACUUCUUGAAUGAGGAAAUAAAUUCAGAAAACAAUGCUACAAACUCAGAAAAUUGAAGACCUUGACAGUGGCUAUCGGAAGAGAAAACAUCUACAAGUUCAUCGAUGAGUUUAGUGAAGUAGAUUUAGUGCACUAGAUCAAGCUUCUACAUUAAAAAUUUAAUAUUUCACUGAUGCAAUUUUGCAUUUAUUAGUUACAUGGAACCGGGCUUGGUAAAUUAGUUAAACUCUAUCCACACUACU